GAUGAACGCUGGCGGCGUGCUUAACACAUGCAAGUCGAACGGUGAACUUGGGAGCUUGCUCCCGGGGGAUCAGUGGCGAACGGGUGAGUAACACGUGAGUAACCUGCCCUUGACUCUGGGAUAAGCGUUGGAAACGACGUCUAAUACCGGAUACGAGCUUCAGCCGCAUGGCUAGGAGCUGGAAAGAAUUUCGGUCAAGGAUGGACUCGCGGCCUAUCAGCUAGUUGGUGAGGUAACGGCCCACCAAGGCGACGACGGGUAGCCGGCCUGAGAGGGUGACCGGCCACACUGGGACUGAGACACGGCCCAGACUCCUACGGGAGGCAGCAGUGGGGAAUAUUGCACAAUGGGCGCAAGCCUGAUGCAGCAACGCCGCGUGAGGGACGACGGCCUUCGGGUUGUAAACCUCUUUUAGUAGGGAAGAAGCGAAAGUGACGGUACCUGCAGAAAAAGCACCGGCUAACUACGUGC
rnacentral:rRNA from 1 species